GGCGGUUCUCGGGUACCACAACCAGGAGUCGGACUCCCUCCUCUCUGGUUCCAGGGUGCUUCACCAGAGAACCGCA
rfam:Myotis lucifugus cont2.72307, whole genome shotgun sequence.